rnacentral:rRNA from 1 species
AAUGAACGCUGGCGGCAUGCCUAACACAUGCAAGUCGAACGAGACCUUCGGGUCUAGUGGCGCAUGGGUGCGUAACGCGUGGGAAUCUGCCCUUGGGUUCGGAAUAACUCGCCGAAAGGCGUGCUAAUACCGGAUGAUGACGUAAGUCCAAAGAUUUAUCGCCCAAGGAUGAGCCCGCGUAGGAUUAGCUAGUUGGUGGGGUAAAGGCCCACCAAGGCGACGAUCCUUAGCUGGUCUGAGAGGAUGAUCAGCCACACUGGGACUGAGACACGGCCCAGACUCCUACGGGAGGCAGCAGUGGGGAAUAUUGGACAAUGGGCGAAAGCCUGAUCCAGCAAUGCCGCGUGAGUGAUGAAGGCCUUAGGGUUGUAAAGCUCCUUUACCCGGGAUGAUAAUGACAGUACCGGGAGAAUAAGCCCCGGCUAACUCCGUGCCAGCAGCCGCAGUAA